AGCGAACGUUAGCGGCGGGCCUAACACAUGCAAGUCGAACGCGAAAGGUCUUCGGACUGAGUAGAGUGGCGCACGGGUGAGUAACACGUAGGUAAUUUACCCUUUGGCGGGGGAUAACGUUCCGAAAGGAGCGCUAAUACCGCAUAAGACCACGGAGUCUCCGGACGCUGUGGGAAAAGGUGGCCUCUUCUUGAAAGCUAUCACCGAAGGAUGAGCCUGCGUCCCAUCAGCUAGUUGGUAAGGUAAUGGCUUACCAAGGCGAAGACGGGUAGCUGGUUUGAGAGAAUGAUCAGCCACACUGGCACUGGAACACGGGCCAGACUCCUACGGGAGGCAGCAGUGAGGAAUAUUGGGCAAUGGGCGAAAGCCUGACCCAGCCACGCCGCGUGAGUGAUGAAGGCCCUCGGGUCGUAAAGCUCUGUGGAGAGGGACGAAAACCCUGGUUUCAAAUAGGCUCCAGGCUUGACGGUACCUCUUUAGCAAGCACCGGCUAACUCUGUGCCAGCA
rnacentral:rRNA from 1 species